rnacentral:lncRNA from 1 species
UUAAAUUGUGUUUAUAAAGUCAUCAGUAGACAAUGUUUACAUCUGGAGAAAAGGGGAAAGAAGCAGACUUCUCCAGUGGGGCACUCAGUCUGGUGCCAGAAAGCAUAUCAAAUCAGAGCACAGACCUGGCUGAACAUGGGGCUACUUCCCAAGGUGUCAAUUUUCUUUGAAGAUUUUCAGGUGAGUAAAACAUUGUUUUCAUAAUAAAACCAAAUUGAAUAUUUCUGAAGCAGAAUGCAAACUUUUUGUUACUUUUUAAGAUGUCACUCAAACCUUCAAAGAUGAUUUUCUAAACCUCAGGAAGUGUACUAAUUCCCCUUGGCCAUCAGGAAGGCUUUGGUGGAAAUGUUUGAAAAGCAGAAAACCAGAAUGUCUCAUUUGUCCCAAUUUUACUAUUUGGCCCCACCAGAUCUUCAACUUUAUUGUCACCAUUUCUCUCCACUCCAUGUGACCUGGCCUUUUGGGAUUUUUUCUUAUUUUCCAAAUAUUCCUGCAUUAGCAUCUAUUUCACCCCUGCCUGGAAUCAUCCUUGAAAGGCCAAUUCAAGCCUUACUUCUCUGAAACUUUUCUAAGCAGAAUGGAAAGGCAAGAGUAAACCUUUGGCGACUGAUAAAUUGUAUUAAUGUAUUGUUUCCAAUUGUUCACUGCCUUUACCAGUAAGAUUUCCUUACCAGUUUCCCUGUCAUUGCCAUGACCUGUCUAUAGAAGGCGUAGACCUCUCUGCUGCCACUAAUAGCGGGCUUGGCCAACUGACUUGCUUUGGCCAAUGGUAGUGAGUAGAAGUGAUAAACUGCACAUCCAAACAGCAGCUCUCAGAAACAGCAUGGCUCAGUCAUUUCUCUUUUCCUUCGCCACAACAAAAUGACAAGUCUGAUGGCUGCCCUUUCAGACUGAGUCCAGGAAUGAAGAGGACACAGGAGCAGCACUGUCAGCAAGACAUAGCCGAUGUGUGGUCUGAGUGAGAAACAGAUUUUUACAGUUAGAAGCUAAUGAGAUUUGGCGAUGGAGAAACCCACUCGGAACCCCAGAGAUGGUAUAAAGAUUAUUUUAAGCAAAAGGCAUUUCAGUUCAACAGUUAGAGAAAAAAAAAAAAAAAGCCUUCUUAGAGCUUCUCUUAUCUGACUAAAAGCAGCAACUUCUGGAAAAUAACGCUGUCAUAAAUGCUUCUUCAGGGUGGAUCUACUUCAAGAAAAGAGACCGUGAAUAAACCGACCCCAAAUCCUCUCUCCAGGGAAGUUUCAUUGUCCUGAAGGAGACAUGAAAGAGGAGGCAUAUCACUCAUAACUGUAUAGAAAAACAUUAUCACAAACUUCCUUAUCUCCUGUUUGUUCUCCUCAAAACCCAUUUAUCUUUUUUUUUUUUUUUUUGAGACAGGGUCUUGCUCUGUUGCCCAGGCUGAGUGCAGUGGCGUGAUCACAGCUCACUGCAGCCUCAACCUCCCAGGCUCAAGCAAUUCUCCCACCUCAGCCUCCCAAGUAGCUGGGACCACAGAAACGUGCCGCCAUGCCUGGCUAAUUUUUGUAUUUUUUGUAAAGAUGGGAUUUCACUGUCUUACCCAGGCUGGUCUUGAACUCCUGGGCUCAAACGAUCCUCCCAUCUCAGCCUUCCAAAAUGCUGGGAUUACAGGAGUGAGCCACCACACCCAGCCCCAUUUACCUCUCUGAAAAGUCGUUGUUUUCACAUAAGUGCCUUUCUUUUCCUACUCAUUCCCUUCUAAGGUGGUAUGUAAGCCUGUCUAUCCACUCCUUUGAGUUAGUCACUCACCGAAAUCAGAGUUACGUACUGACUUCUGUGUGUAUAUGAAUUACAUGCAUAAAUAAACUCUCACGUUUUCCUCUUUUUAAUCUGUCUUUGUCAGUUUAAUUCACAGGCCUCAGGCAUGGAACAUGAAAGAAUAGAGGAAAAAGUUUUCCUCUGCUACCAGAGCCAUUUGUUAUUACAGCAAACUGAUACAAAAACUGGUGGGCCUGAAUUUCCGCUUAUGCUUGCUGAGAGAAAUUUAUGUUCUGAAAUGGCCUUGGUCAGAUGUUCCUCCAGCUUAUAAAUUAAAUAUGGGUAAUGUUCUUUCCUUUCUGGUGAAGAACAAAUAGGAUGAACAAACUGUGUCUGUUGUGUUGGUAUUAAGUCACAGUAAUACAUCUUCUUUUUCAGAAGAUAAGUUAUACAUACUGCAG